UGAUCCUGGCUCAGAUUGAACGCUGGCGGCAGGCCUAACACAUGCAAGUCGAACGGUAACAGGAUAGCUUGCUAUCGCUGACGAGUGGCGGACGGGUGAGUAAUACUUAGGGAUCUGCCUCUGUGUGGGGGAUAACUAUUGGAAACGAUAGCUAAUACCGCAUAAUGUCUACGGACCAAAGCGGGCUUCGGCUCGUGCGCAGAGAGGAACCUAAGCGAGAUUAGCUAGUUGGUGAGGUAAAGGCUCACCAAGGCGACGAUCUCUAGCUGUUCUGAGAGGAAGAUCAGCCACACUGGAACUGAGACACGGUCCAGACUCCUACGGGAGGCAGCAGUGGGGAAUAUUGCACAAUGGGGGAAACCCUGAUGCAGCCAUGCCGCGUGUGUGAAGAAGGCCUUCGGGUUGUAAAGCACUUUCAGUUGUGAGGAAAGUUUAGUGGUUAAUACCUGCUAGAUGUGACGUUAGCAACAGAAGAAGCACCGGCUAACUCCGUGCCAGCAGCCGCGGUAAUACGGAGGGUGCGAGCGUUAAUCGGAAUUACUGGGCGUAAAGCGCACGCAGGCGGUCUGUUAAGCUAGAUGUGAAAGCCCCGCGCUCAACGUGGGAGGGUCAUUUAGAACUGGCAGACUAGAGUCUUGGAGAGGGGAGUGGAAUUCCAGGUGUAGCGGUGAAAUGCGUAGAGAUCUGGAGGAACAUCAAUGGCGAAGGCAACUCCCUGGCCAAAGACUGACGCUCAUGUGCGAAAGUGUGGGUAGCGAACAGGAUUAGAUACCCUGGUAGU
rnacentral:rRNA from 1 species